UCCAUUGUCUUUUCUUUUCUUUUUUUUAAGUUUUACUUAGCAGAAAGUGUUGUUGUAAGGACAUGGCUUGGCGACUUCGUGCUCUGCCGAGUGCGGGCAUCUUUGGGAGCACAGCUAGAUACAUCAGAAGCACGAAAUGGUCCAUAGGAAGGACACCUUGAUCCAUCAGAAGCAGGAAACGCAAAGAAUAUUCUCCUGAGCACCUGUUUGGGUGACUGUGUGUUCUGCUGACUGCAGGAGUCUUCAGGAGGACAUCUAGACACAUCAGAUGCACAAAAUGGAGUCCGUGACCUUUGAGGAUGUGGCUGUGAAGUUCACCUCAGGAGAGUGGGCUUUGUUGGAUUCCAGUCAACAGAAGCUCUACAGAGAUGUGAUGAUGGAAACCUUCUUGAACCUGAUCUGCAUAGAGAAAGGACUAGAAGAACAUAUUGAAGAGGACUACAAAGAUCUCUGCAGAAAUCUGGGAACUCAGGUGGUUGAGAAAGACUGUGGAUAUGAAUGUGAUACUCGGUGUGAUGACAACUGUCAACCAAUUCCAAAGAAUAUGAUUAAUGAAUACAUGCCUCAUAUAAUAAGAGGAUAUGAAAGCCUAUGGCAUGUAAGAAACAUCAUAGAUCAUUCAUUCUCACGUGUGUAUCUCAGAGUCCAAUCUAGAGGGAAACAACCUCAAUAUAAGGAAGCUUUUAUACAUCAGAAACAUUGGAAAAAUAUCAGUAAUUCUGAAUCUCUUCAGGUACUUGAAACUUUUCCUAGAGCGAAACCUUACAAGAAUCAGCAAUGUAAGGAAGCCUUUAGGAGUCUCCCUUCUAAUAAGCCUCACAAGAGAAUACAACGUGGAGAUAAAUUCAAUCAGAACUUAUUAAGGAGAUAUACAGAUAGCCCGAAAGAUGAUGGAAUCCACACGGAAGUGAAAUCAUUUGUUCAUAAGCACAGUGAAGAAGCCUUUAUUGAUUCCAGUAACUUUAUCAACCCUGAAAAAGGUCAUAUUGGAGAGAAAAGGUACAUUUGUAAGCAGUGUGGGAAAACAUUUAAAUAUGCUUCAUGUUUUGAGAAACAUAAAGUAACUCACAGAGAAGAAAAGCUGUACACAUGUAAGCAUUGUGGAAAAGCCUUUACCCGAUCCAGUUAUCGUAAUAUUCAUGAAAAGAGUCACAGUGGAGAGAAACCUUAUGCAUGUAAGCACUGUGGCAAAACCUUUGCCAUUUUGAGUUCAUGUAGCACUCAUGAAAGAAUUCACACUGGAGAGAAGCCUUAUGCAUGUAAGCAUUGUGGAAAAACAUUCACCAGUCUAACUUCCUGUAGAAUUCAUGAAAGAAUUCACAGUGGAGAGAAACCUUAUGCUUGUAAGCACUGUGGCAAAACCUUUGCCAUUUUGAAUUCAUGUAGCACUCAUGAAAGAAAUCACACUGGAGAGAAGCCUUAUGCAUGUAAGCAUUGUGGAAAAGCCUUCAGCCAUUCCAGUUAUCGUAACAUUCAUGAAAGGGGUCACACUGGAGAGAAACCUUAUGCAUGUAAGCACUGUGACAAAACCUUUGCAAUUUUGGGUUCUCUUGUCACUCAUGAAAGAACUCACACUGGAGAGAAGCCUUACAUAUGUAAGCAUUGUGGAAAAGCCUUCACCCAAGCCAGUUAUUGUAACAUUCAUGAAAGAAUUCACACUGGAGAGAAACCUUAUGCAUGUAAGCAUUGUGAUAAAGCAUUCACCAAUUCCAACGCUUGUAACAUUCAUGAAAGAAUUCACACCGCACAGAAGCCUUACACAUGUCAGCAUUGUGGAAAAGCCUUCACCCAAGUCAGUUCUCGUACCAUCCAUGAAAGAAUUCACACUGGAGAGAAGCCUUAUGCAUGUAAGCAUUGUGGGAAAGCCUUCAGCCAAGCCAGUUAUCGUAACAUUCAUGAAAGAAUUCACACUGGAGAGAAGCCUUAAACAUGUAAACAUUGUGAAGAAACCUUUGCCAAUUUCAGUUGGUAUAUCACUCAUGAAAGGAUUCACACUGAGAGACAAAUUACGCAUGGGCUGUGGCUCUGUGGCUUUGAUGUCCCCUGGCACUGUGCAGACAGGAGUGCACUGGAGAAUGCUACACUGGCUUCCUCGUCACAGAACCGGAAUUGUGGGCGAAGCAGGCAGCUGUGCAUAAGACCUGUUCUGUCCCAGGGAAACGACUGUGUCUCAGGCUAGUUUCUUGCUGUGAUGAAACAGCACCUGGAACCUGUGCCUUUUCAGAGCUUGGAGAGCUGCCAUGUUGGUGACACUGUGUCCAGGCAGUGGUGUGGAGGGUCGUGGGUGGUGUGCUCUCUUGGUAGUCUCCUUUAGAGCUAUGUCAGUGCUGCUUUAGAGUUUUCCCGUCAUCACCUUUGUGAUUUUUUUGUUUUGCUUAGUACUGAACUCGAAGCUAUGCCUGGCAUAUGGCCAACACAGGCUUUGGUACAUUCGCCAAGCAAAAACUCUUCAGUGUGUGUGUGUGUGUGUGUGUGUGUGUGUGUGUGUGUGUGUGUGUGUGUGUGUGUGUGUUCUGUCCUUUUAAAAAUGAUGAUGGGAGAGGAGUGGGUCAAAAUUCCCAUUCACAGAGGAAGAGAAUUUUAAAUUAGAUUUCUUUUUUCACUAACCAGUUCUUUGACAAAAAUUGGGAUAUUUGAAAAGCUCUCCCAAGCUUGCCCUUUGCAAGACCUGUGAAGGGGAUCAUGGGCUUGGGAAUGGAUUGUUUCUUGUUUGUUUUACUCUAGUCUGCUUCUCCAAGUUGAAGAGCUUGAAUGAAGGAGCACUUAAUCGGUAAUUAAUCAUUUUACAUGAUGAACUUCUUUAGAGGCAAAAUAGUAUUUUCAUUAGUGUUAGAUUUUAGGGUACAGGAGACAAAAAGCUGGAAAGAGACCAAAGUCUGACCUCAACAGACAACACAUACAGCAAGCUGAACCUGCUUUUGCUGUGCAGGGAAGCGGUGCAGUGCAAGAUAGCUGCCUGACACAUUUAUAAAAGGGUCCUGGGAUCAGGCAGUUGAAGCACCUUGUUGUACUCAGCCCUGGUAUGCAAGCUCUCCUUUCUGAAAUCAUUAGCCCAAGGAAAUCAGACUACCUUGGGAAACAGAUUUUUCUUUCUGGCCUGACCCAUAAUGGUUGAGAAUUUCAUGCCUUCUUCCAUCCCUCCAUGUGGGAUUUAAAUGGUCAACAAGCCCAGCUAUGAUAAUCUUUUUCACAGGGGCACUUUGGAACAUCUGAAGACUUAAGUUACUUAGAUAGGAGGACAGUCACUUACAAAAUGAUUAUGAUUAGUCAAAAUAGUCCCUCUCAUAUGAAGAACAUUUUCAGUGGUCAUGUUUAGAGGCCAAAUUUGGUAGACUCCUGAAUAAGAUAUUUGUGGAUUUUACUCUUUAUUUCUGUUAAAUGAACAAUGUGAAUAAGGGUUGGAAAGAUGGCUCAGUAUUUAAGAGCACAGACUUCUCUUUCAAAGGGACCACAGCAUGUGCAGAGUGGCUCACAACCGUCUGUGACUCCAGUUCCACGGUAUACAGUACCAUCAUUUGGCUUUCUAGUGCACAAAGUGCACAUGAGGUGCACUGAUGUAAAUGCAGGAAAACCAUCCAUACUCAGGUGUAACACGAAUUGCUACAUAAUCUUAUUAAUAAAAACCCGGAGCCAGAUGUUGGGGUGAUUACUGAAAGAUCAGAGAAACAGAACAAGCCACAUCCAACCUCACCUUAACCAACUCCUCAGCCGCCAGAGUGAGCUACUUCCUGUAUACUCACACCUAUAUACUUUUCUGUGCCCUGCCACCUUACUUUCUUCCUCUGCUCAGCUCUAUCACUUCCUUUCUGUCUGCAUAGACCUCCAGACUUAUAUGGUUAACUAGCCCUGGGAUCAAAGGCAUGUGCCACCAUGCUUGGCUCUGUUCCUGGUGUGGCCUUGAACUCACAGAGAUCUGGAUGAAUCUCUGCCUCCCGAAUGCUAGGAUUAAAGGUGUGUGUUACCACUACCUGACCUCUGUUUAAUAUAGUGGCUGGCUUUUUUCUCUGAUCCCCAGAUAAGCUUUAUUGGGGUGCACAAAUAAAAUACUACCACACUCAGGAAAUGAAAUAAAUAAAUCUUAAUAUGCAUAUGAGUGGCAGUAUUAUUCUGGGGAAUAUCCCAGUGUUGUGGGAAUUAUUUCAAAGCUCUGGGAGCAAUAGCAGGCAUGAUGACAUCCCAACAUUAAUCAUUUAAUGUGUCUGCAUCAUCACUAGAGAAUGACCAUAGUGGGGCUCUUUGUUAGCAGUCUGUAAGUUGGGAGUAUUUACUCUAGUGAAUGGAGGCUUUCUUCAUGGUCUUGGGCAAAGCAAACCUUUUCUUAAGUUCAGGGAUUGCUUUUCAUAUCUCUGAGUCCAUAGUGGAGUACUCCUGCCAUAUAUGUUUUAUCCAUCCAUUGAGGAAUUGUAUCUUGUUGUUUUGUUUUAAUUUUCUUGGUAGGAAAAGGAUACCAAGAAAUAUCAAGUAUGAGAUAGUAAUGGGCUGUUGCCUCAUACCUGAUCUUUGUGUUUUUCUAUCUAGCCCUGUCUCAAUUAGGGUUUCCAUUGCUGCAACCAAACACUAUGAUCAAAAAGUAAGUUGGGGAAGAAAGGGUUUAUUUGCCUUACACUUCCACAUUGCUGUUUAUCACUGAGGGAAGUCAAGACAGGAAUUCAAACAGGGCUGGAACCUGGAGGCAGGAGCUGAUGCAGAAACCAUGGAGGGGAGCUGCUUACCGGCAUUCUUCCCCUAGCUUGCUCAGUUUUUCUUAUAGAACCCUGGACCAUCAUCCCAGGGAUGGCAACAACCAUAAUGGGCUGGAUCUUCCCCCUUUGAUCACUAAUUGACAAAAUGCCUUAUAACUGGGUCUCAUGGAGUCAUUUCCUCAACUGAGGCUCCGUCCUCUCUGAUGACUCAGCUUUUGUCAAGCUGACACACAAAAUCAGUAAGUACAACUUACCCUUGGUCAUCUUGACACAUAAACACAUCACUAUUAAGCCACAACGCUUCCUUUCUUAUUCAUCUCCAAGAUCUCACAUUCAAACCUUAAACAAUUUUAAAAGUUUCACGGUCUUUACAAAUUCAACACAUUAAAUUUUCAACACAUUAAAAUUUCAGUCUCUUUAAGAUAUCAAUCUCUUUUAAUAGUUCAAGUAUUUCAUCUGUGUGCUCCUUUAAAAAUCAAAAUAAAAUUAAAUACCUUCUUCAAGAGGGAAAAACUAGGACACCAUCACAAUCUGAACCAAACAAAACAAAACUCCCAACAGUAUAAAUAACUCAAUGUCCAGUUAUCUGGGAUUCACUCAUGAUCUUCGGGACUCCUCCAAAGGACAUAGGUAAUUUAUCCGGAUCUGCCCUCUACAGCAAACACAGCUUGUCUUCUCAGCUCCUGCUGGCUCAACUCCGUUGCUGCUACUGUUCUUGGUGAUCUUCCCAUGGUACUGCUAUCUCCAGAUGCCGGGGUUCCUCGCUGCAACUGGGCUGCACUUUCGCCAAUAGCCUUUCAUAGGUUUUCUUCCUUGUGCCAAGCCUUAACUUCUCUGCUUGAGCCUUUCAGUCCUGGGUCUUCAACUGCUACUGAGGCUGUACCUUCACCAAUGGCCUCGCCCAGUUCCAAGCCUCAGGUGUUCUUCAUGCCUUCAAAACCAGUACUACCUGGGUGAUGCUUACACAUUAACAAGUCCUGCUGCCAACAUGAUGUACAACCUCUGAAACACAGCUUCUCUAUGCUCUCAGGAACUCUUCCUAGAAUAUUCAACUCAGUGAUGCUGGUUUCUUCUCAAUCAUGGCUAAUUUCAUAGCUCCAGCUCACCAGCAACAAUUGUUCCAGUAACGUAAAGGAUUUACUUUAGUAGUUCUGUUAUCUUGUUUUUUUGUUUUUUUUGUUUUUCGAGACAGGGUUUCUCUGUAGUUUUGCGCCUUUCCUGGAACUCACUUUGUAGACCAGGCUGGCCUCGAACUCACAGAGAUCCACCUGGCUCUGCCUCCCGAGUGCUGGGAUUAAAGGCGUGCACCACCACCGCCCGGCUUCUGUUAUCUUAUUAAUCACAGGACUAUCUAGGCCUUAUGUCUCUUUUGUUCAUCAGGGAUGCUGUUACUUCUUUUCAUCAAAUGUCCAUUGAGGUGCAUGGAUAUGCACAAACACCAUUGCUACCAAAUUUGAAUCCUUUGUAGAUCCUGAGACUUGUGGUAUUAGUCCUGUAUGACAUCUGCUACUGAUAUUAGGCCAUGCGGAGGACAUCUUGGUACAUCAGCAACAGGAAAAGUGUGAGUUGCCCUGGACUCCUGGAAUUGUGGGUUGUGCAUUUGUGCCAUUGAUGAGGCUGUGGGCUACUGCCUUGAUGUUCCCCUGGCACUGUGUGGAGUGUGCUCUAGCCGCCUACACUGGCUUUGUCUUUCCUGGAGCAAUGGAAUUGUGUGCAAAGCAUGUAGCAAGGCCUCUGGCCCUGUUCUGUCCCAGGGAAUCUACUUCGUUUCCAGGCCACUCUCUUCUUGGGGUGAAAAGGCUUCUGGGACCUGGCCUCCCUGCUGCUUGCUCUGCUGCCAGGUUGGUGACACCGCACCCUGUCUGGUGUGAGGGGACAUGAGUGGUGUGCCCUCUCAUUGCUCUCCCUCAUAGCUCUCUCUGUGCUGCUUUAGAUUUUUCCUGACAUCAUGUUUGUGAGUUUAUAUUUUUCUUAGUAUCGAACCACAAGCCAGGCCUGACAGAAGAUAAACAAUGGUUUUGUCAUUAGGCCUCAUCCCUCCAUUCCCAACUCCCAAUUGUGUGUGUGUGCGUGUGUGUGCGCGUGUGUGUGUGUGUGUGUGUGUGUGUGUGUGUGCGUGCGUGCGUGCGUGCGUGUGUGUGUGUGUGUGUGUGUGUGUGUGUGUGUGUAUUCUGUCCCAUUUAAAAAUGAUGAUGGGGAAGGACUGGAUUGUUCUCUCUGUAAUAGUAGGUCAAAAUUGCCAGUCACAGAGGAAGAGAACUUUCAAUUCAAUUUUUUUUUUUUUUUUGGUUUUUCGAGACAGGGUUUCUCUGUGUAGCUUUGCGCCUUUCCUGGAUCUCACUCUGUAGACCAGGCUGGCCUCGAACUCACAGAGAUCCGCCUGGCUCUGCCUCCCGAGUGCUGGGAUUAAAGGCGUGCGCCACCACCGCCCGGCUCAAUUCAAUACCUUUCCUCAGGCCAAAACUGGAGUUUUUGAAAAGCUGUGUCAGCCUUGACCUUUGUGUGCCCUGUAAAGGGGAUCUUGGGCUUGUGAUUGAAUGGUUUGGUUGCUUCUCUAAGUAGAAGAAAUUGCAUGAGGGAGUACUUAAUGAGUACUUAAUCCUUUUCCCCAGAGGAACAUCUUUGGAGAAAAAAAAUAGUGUUUCCAAUAGUUUUAGAUUUCACAGUGAGGAGUGAGGAGACAGAAGGCUGGAAAGAGACCAGAGUCUAACCACAGCAGAGGACACUGGUCAUUAGCACAGACCCCAAUGACACUGACUUUCCUGCUGUGCACUGGGAUCAAGCUGCCUGGGACCCUUUAAAGGUCCCUGGAAGGGGCUUGGGACUGAGGAAGUUGAUGCAGCUUCCUGGGCUGUGUGCUGCUAUGUAGUCUCUCCUUCCUGAAGUUAUUUGCCCACGGGAGACAGGCUGUCUCAGCAGACGUUCCUCUCCUGGGAUGGUUGAGCAAGGCAGGCUGUGGUCUCCUACAAAUGCUAUGUUUACAACCAAGAUACUCUGUCUGUUAGUUUUUCGGCUGCGUUGUGUUCUUACCCUGCAAGGAAAUGCCACGAAACACGACAGAAUCCGCUAACAAGAGUUUUAUUAAAGGUAAAGGGACAGAGAGUGAACAGGCCUGCGGGAAACACGUGUGUGGAGAAGAAGGAGGAAGAAGAAGAAGAAGGAACCGGGAACAUGGCGCCGGAUUUUAAAGGCUGGGCGUGGACAGAUCAGCGUCACUAUUACACGCAAGCGCGUAGAUCACAUGGCCACGUUGCGCGCCUACGUAGCCAAUAGAACGUCACGGAUCUUGGUCACGCAAGAUGCCCUGACCCGGAAAUGGCUAUCCUGACCUGGAACUGGCUAGGUGGAAGUGUCUGUUGGGCAUAUGCGAACACGCCCGACCGUGGGGGCGUGUUGUAAACCUUUCAUCCCUGACUCUUCCUUUUUUAAAAAAGAAAAAAAUUGUGGUUGCCUGGGUAUGGGGGCGACGUUUCUCUCAAAGACUGCUUCCAGCUGAAUAGUGGGCGUUGGUUGGCUCUUGGGGGGCAGGGGGAUGAGAGGGUAUCUUGUGAAGUCCUGGGAUGUUGGUGGGCAGGUCCUGGAAUGAAGUUCUGCCGUCCCCUUGUUCUGCGGCUGUCUAUCCGUGCUGUGGCUGGGAACCCUCCGUGCUGUGGCUAGGAACCUUCUGUUUGACAAGAUACUGUUGACAUAGAAAAGGCUUAGAGAGAAAGAAUCAUUAUUAUUUUAUUUUGGAGUUGGCAUUUGUCUGAGGUAGAUCUGGCCUGUCCAGAUAGAGACAUGUGAUAUUUACCUGAGGUAGAUCUGGCCUUAGUACUCUGCUUAAUUUUUAUCUGAGACAAGCCUUAUUAGAGGUAGUUUAUUUAAGGCACCGGUUUCCCUUAUUAGGUUAGCAUUUAGGAAACGCAGGUGAUCAGUUGCUGAGUAUCGAACAAUGAUAGAUUAUUGUAUUACAUUAUUCCUUACCGCCUGGAUAUUUUUGAUGGUCCUUUUUGCCUCCGGCUCUGUGUGUCUACCUGAGAGACUGUGUCUACCUGAGAGACUGGUAGGGGAAAGGAAUUGUUAGAGUCAGAAGAGUGAGUGGCUAGGAGGAGAAGUAAAGGAGCUGCUGGCGCGUCUGGGAUGAGGCGAAUGUGUGGAGCGAAAGAAAUGGACGCUCCUACCUUAGCUAGAAGAUCCCCCCCCCCAUUAAAGGUACAGGGCAGCUUGGCACCACUAAGAAUGUGUGUGUGAGAGGGAUGCCUCUGAAAAUGCAAUUGAGUGGUGGUGUCUGAUGAGGUAGAUAAGGCUGUCCCCAACCCCGACAAUAGGGAGACGAGCAGGAGAGGUGGGCCUCCAAAACUCUCUCAGGACAGAGUAGGUAGCUCCGGUGUCCAAAAGGAACGAGAUGGGGCUGCCCAUUGACCUUUAUAAUUACCCUAGGUUCCCUGUGUGAGAUGGGAGUGGCCGGGGCAGAAACCAGGCAGCAGCAGUCCUCGCUGUAAGCCAAGCCUACAAAGUCAGCUGGAGGGUGGUCUUCAUCUGGCAUUCCUAUGUCGCUUGGGACAUUAGGACAGUCAGCUGACCAGUGACCCUUUUGGCAACACUUUGGACAAGGCUUUGUCGGUGCCCUUCAUGGGCCGGUGGUGCAAGCCUGGGCCCAAUGGCCUUCUCUCCCACACUUGAAGCAGGGACCAGAUGGCUUUCGGGGAGCCGGUCGGGCAGUGCUUGCCAGCAUCUGGCAGCUCCUUUUAUGGGCUUUUUCAUCUCUCCCAUGGUACACCUUAAACACUAUCACCAGCACAUCUGCCUGUGGAGUUAGAGGGCCGUUCUCCAAACGUUUAAGUUUAUCCCUAAUGUUAGGGAAGCUCUGUGAGACAAACUGGGUUAUUAGCAGCUGCCUGCCCUCAGGGCUCUCCGGGUCUAAGCUAGUGAACUGAAGUAGAGCCUUGGUGAGCUGCUCUAGGAAAUGAGAUGGAUUUUCGUCCUUAUCUUGAAUAACCGUUUUUAGUUUUUCAUAGUUUACUGGUUUUAGGGCAGCCUUACAGAGGCCUGUCAGGAGACAGGUAAUAAACCUAUCUCUGGCUAGACAGCCACCCUGGGUGUUAUAAUCCCAGUGUGGCUCUCGGUCAGGAACCACCUCAGCUCCUGGAGGGUGUGAGAGGUUAGUUUAAUGAAUUUUGUCUGCGUGAAUCCUAGCCUGCUCCCAAACCCACCUGCGCUCCUCAGGAAGUAAGUUAUUAGAAAGUAUCAUGAAUAUAUCAUGAAAGAUGAGACUAUAAGAUUGAGUUAUAUAUUGAAACUGUUUAAUAAAGGCAGCAGAAUUAGAAGUAUAAGAACCCAGCUUACUUUCUAUCUGAGAGAGUUCUGCUAGAGAGAAUGGAACAUGAACUUUAAUCAGUCCAUCCACACCAGCCACCUCUCGCAAAAGGAGAACAGUGGAAGGUUUUGGAUGGCUGGAAUCCGACAAUUUAGCAGUCCGAGAGCGGGUGAUAGGAGGAGUGAAGUUUGGAGCUAGGGCAGGGCCUUUGGAACCGGCUGCUGCUGAGAAAAGAGCAGCUUUAGAAGAAGAAGAAUCUGGAAGGGGAGCGGAAGGAACGGUUUUCUAGGAGUUGGAGCUGGAGGUCGAAUAGGUGGAGGUUCGUUAGCAGGAUCUAGAGUCAGAGAUUCUGGAGUCAGAGAAUCCUCCGGUUCAGGCAUAGCCAGGAGCAUAUGAGCAGGAGAGAAGGAAUCCAGAAGAGACGGUUUAGCACUGAGAAAGAAAAAUGCUAUAACGUAGGGCAACUCUUUCCAUCUGCCUGAGCGCUGACAGUAAUUAGAUAACUCCGUAAAAUAUCGGGAUCUAAGGAGCCGCUCGGCGGCCAUUUUUUGUUGUUUUCUAAAGAAUACUUUGGUCAUUUUUUAGAACAUAGACGAGUUAGCUUAGGAAUCUUUAUGUAAGGCAUUAAACUGAGAGGUUUUAAAGCUUCAACAAGACAGCCUAACGGAGAGGAAGGACUAACAGGGUUGGAAGCCUUGUUUCCCAUGUCUGCAGCGGAGAGGCAGAAAAAUAAAAAAGAUAAAAAAACAAACGUGAUCCGGAGCCAAGGCCCCAGGCGUCCCCAAGGCCAAGGACAGAUCCCGGGCACAAGCCGCUCCUUGGCUCGUCAGCCACAGAAGCGGGGGCCCCUGCCACGCGAGGAAAGGAUUCCCCGGGAACCCGGACAGCGUCUGCCGCUUCGUCAAGUCGGAUGAACGUGUCGGCCCCACGUGGCCCCCAGGACGCACCCAACGGCGGUGGUCCCAACGCGAGAAAUAUCUGAGGCUGCAGACGUGGGAGAGGGCUAGAAAUCUCAGGCCUGUGAUAGGGGCCGACCGUAGCCAAUGAAGACCGUGGUCGGGGGUUCCCCGGUCUCAAGAAUACUUGUGAGGUACCGGUUGUUCUCACAGAUUCAGGAAACCGUUUACACUGGCCAAAAAAUGGGGGAGACUCACCAAUCGGAGAAAGCAGUGUUGCAUGGAUUUUCUGCGGUCAGGCAAAAUGGAGAGCGGUCUGUCGCGUACAGAGCAGAGUGUUGCAGUCCCCGGUUUACGGGUUUCCAGGCGCAGGGCACCCGGAAGCGCCCGCUCGGUUUCGGCACCAAAAUGUUAGUAGAUCACAUGGCCACGUUGCGCGCCUACGUAGCCAAUGGAACGUCACGGAUCUUGGUCACGCAAGAUGCCCUGACCCGGAAAUGGCUAUCCUGACCUGGAACUGGCUAGGUGGAAGUGUCUGUUGGGCAUAUGCGAACACGCCCGACCGUGGGGGCGUGUUGUAAACCUUUCACUGUCAAAUAGAAUGAUGUUUGUACGAUAUUACUCCUGGACAUUCAUAGACAUGAGUAUUCAAAUUCUUUAUCAUUUCAGGUUGUCAUUGUUGCUGUUUUCACUCUCUUGCUUGAGUUUAUUUCUAAAUAAUUCUUUUCAUGUGACUAUGAAUGGGAUCUUGUCACUGAUUUUCUCUUUCACACUAGUCUUUACUGGAGCACAGAAAUGCUGUUGCUUAUUGAAUGUUAAUAUUAAUCCUGCCAUGUUACUGAAAGUAUUAAAUGCUUAAGAAAGGUGGGUAUAUUUCACAGUUCCUUCUGUAUUUUAGUGUAAAUUCUUGCUCAAAUUGAAAUGAGUGUUAGUAAUAUACUAGAUAAUUCUAGCUAAUGAUAGGCGAAAUAAUUGCAUAAGAUAAGAAGACCAACUUUGAGGGUUAAAUACUUAUUAACUUUAUGUUCAUUUUUACAUUUACAAUAUAAAAUUUAAAUUUAUAAAUAUAAAUACUUAUAUCAUGUAUGAAACAGUACACUUUCAUCUGAAAGUGUAUACACAUCAGAAGUAUGAAAUGGUGAAUGGGUCUUGGGCUUCUAGAAUCUUUGAUGGCAGUUUGCGACACUAACUACUUAUGUGGCACUAGCACCUGAAGUUUCCCGUGGUGCUGGAAUAUGGAGUAUGAUCCAGCAAUGCCUGUGCCCACAUGCACUUGAAGUGUGCACCCCAGGCAGCCUUGAGUCCUGAGUCCCCACUUUUCUGUCCUGGUGAAGCUGCUUCCCCACAAUCCCUGGCACCUUUGUGUGAGUCCUUGCCAUGAACCUGUGCUAUACAGGUUUUAAAGAGAUGACGGGAUGGUGAUGCUGAGUCCAGACUGUGUCUUUACCCCUUAACACCUCAUCUAGUAUGAUUUUUGCAUUUUUCCUUUUCCCUUUUUUAUGAUAAUGUGUAACAUUUUUUCUUGUUAUUCCCUACUGCAGUGGUCAAAAUUACAAGUCUGAAGAAAGAGAAAUUUUGGCCAGGCGGUGGUGGCACAUGCCUUUAAUCACAACACUCAGGAGGCAGAGCCAGGUGAAUCUCUGUGAGUUCGAGGCCAGCCUGGUCUACAGAGCGAGAACCAGGGCAGGCACCAAAAACUACACAGAGGAAACCCUGUCUCGAAAAAAACCAAAAAAAAAGAAAGAAAGAAAGAAAGAAAAGAAAAAAAGAGAAAAUUUUCAUUUUGCUUCAUAUUUUGUUUGUUUGCAGUGAUCAUUUUUGAGGUUAAAACUGGAAUUUUGGAAAGUAUUCCCAACAUUACUGAAUGUCAAAUGGGCCAGAUAGUCAUGUGUAGAGGUUCUGGAAUAGUGUUUGUUGCUGCUUGAAACAGAAGGGAUUGGGAGUGUGAAUUCUGUAAUGUAAUUUCCAGGAUUGCAGUCCUUGAUCUCUUUCUUGUUGCCUUCAGAUAGUUGGUUUUGUAAGUGGUGUAAUUUCAAACCAUUGAGAAAGCUGCAGAAAGUUCGUAGGAGAGAAAGACAAAUUUGCUUUUUAUCUGAUGGAGAUGUUUUUUAAUUGAAGGUUGACACGAGUGUACAGUACAUUCAUAAUAUAUUAAUUACUCUUGUGUUUGUAGUUACUUUGAUAUUUAUUUUUAAUUUAUAUUUAAUAUAUAAUUUUUUAUUAUUUGUUUUGUUUUGUUUUUGGUGACAGGGGUUCUCUGUGUCACACUGGAACUCAUUGUGUUGACCAGGUAGCCUUGAACUCAGAGAUCACCCUCCUCUGUGUCAUUCACUCUGGGAUUAAAGGCUUGCAUCUUCAUGUCUGAUUUUAUUUUUUUUAGACAGGAACAUGUGUGUACCAACAGUCUGUUCCAGAAAUCAACUUACAGCUGAGGGUAAUCCCGAACCUUGAUACUCCAAACUCCUCUCUUCCCUGUCCCUUACUUGUUUUUACCUUUGCAGUCCUACUGUAUCUAUUACUCCACUUGCACAUCACAUGCCUGCUACUGAGCCUGUACCACCUCCACCUGCCCAGAGAUCUCAAGGAACCUUUCUUCUCCGUGCUCUCUAUGGACACUCAGUCCAGUUCUGAAAGAGAUGGGUAAGAGGUUAAAGGCAGAAUCCACAUAUAAGAGAGAACAGACAGCAGUUGACUUUGGGCACUUCGGUUAGCUCAUUUACUAUAUUAUAUUUCAAGUUGCAUCCAUUCACUUGCAAAUUUCAUUUUAGUUUUCUUCAUUGCAGAGUCAAAUUCCGAUGUGUUUAUGUGCUACAUUUUUAUUAUGCAGCAUCAGCAGAUGGACCUCCAGGCUGAUUCUUCCUUUAGUUAUUGGAAGUAGAUCAACAGUGACCAUGUGUGUCUGUGUAUCUGUGGUAGAUGUUUGGACUCUUCAUUAUAUGUGGAGAGAUGUAUAGUUUGUUGAGAUGGUAAUUCUGUAUUUUACUUUUGAGGCAAACUCACAGUGAUUUGCUUGUUAAUUAUAGCAGUUUAAACUCCCACCAACACUAAGUAUUCACUUUUUCCUCAUCCUCAAGAGGGUUUGAGGUCCUCAGGUUGGUGAUUGGUUUUUGACAAAACUGAUUAGAUUGAGGCCAUACAUGUGACAAUGGAGAGGAGGUAGAAAGUAGUAAUGGGAAUUUUUAGUAAUGAGAGAGGAAAAUUUAUUUACUUCCCUUACCUACCUACAGUACUUAAUUGGUUGUUGGGUCUGGGUGGGGUAUUCCUGAAGGGACUCUAGCUGGCCCAAUAAUGGCAAACAUGGCUCUGGGAGGCCUUGCCCUUCUCCCCCAUUCCCUCUGCCUUGCUAAAACCCAGUAAAUUACAUUACUAAAGCUAAACACCAAGGUCUGUUCCCUUAUUUGGCCGCUUCCUCCUCCUGAGGCCAACUACCAAGGUCCACCUAUCAAAUUAUUGAAGUUCCAAAAUCAAAAGACCCCUUUGGUUCACCUAAUUAACACGCCCAAUCAGAACAUACCACUACAUCCUAGCCCGUUCUAACACAGACCUCCCUUUUUUCUCUUCUUUUUUUUUUGGUUUUUCGAGACAGGGUUUCUCUGUGUAGCUUUGCGCCUUUCCUGGAACUCGCUUUGUAGACCAGGCUGGCCUCGAACUCACAGAGAUUCGCCUGGCUCUGCCUCCCAAGUGCUGGGAUUAAAGGCGUGCGCCACCACCGCCCGGCUCCUUUUUUCUCUUCUUAAAAAUUACACCUGCAAGGUCAUUUGCUGCUGUUUUUUGUUCUGCCUGAGUCAGAAAGCAGCUACUUUAACUUUUCUUCCUCACUUAAUGAAGAAUCUUUCUAUGAAAACAGGUGUUUGGGUAUGAUUUAUGCAUAAUCUGGGGUCUGGGAGGGUGUCCCCACUGUGCAGGGGGGCUCUCCUUCAAUUCCCAUUUAGAGGGUAACUUUAUUCAAAGCAAAGGCAUAGUAGAAGUCAGAAAUAAUGCAGUGAAAGAUGUCAGCAGACUACAUGACUAAGAGCAUCUAUUAUCUGGUGGGGGCUUUGAAAGAGAAUUUGUUUUUUUUUUGUUUUGUUUUGUUUUUGUUUUUCGAGACAGGGUUUCUCUGUGUAGCUUUGCACCUUUCCUGGAACUCACUUGGUAGCCCAGGCUGGCCUUGAACUCACAGAGAUCCGCCUAGCUCUGCCUCCAGAGUGUGGGAUUAAAGGCGUGUGCCACCACCGCCUGGCAAGAAUUUGGUUGUUAAAGUACAUAAAUAACAUCCUUGUGGGUUCCUGGGGUUUUCCUGGCAACAGGUUUCUCCAUAACCCCCAAAUGCCCCCCCAUCAAGACAUCUCUUUAGUUACUCUCCUCCUCCAUGUCCCCCGCAACCUCCCUCCCACACUUAGCCUGCCUAACCUGCUCCCUCAAGUUCCCAUCCCUCCAUUCCCCCCUUUCCCACCCCCAGUUUACUCAGGAGAUCUUUUCUUUUUCCCCUUCCCAGGGAAAUCCAUGCAUCUUUUUUUGGGCCCUCCUUGUUAUCUAAACUCUCUGGGGCUGUGGAUUGGAGGUUGGUUAUCCUAUACUUUACUCCUAAUACUCACUUAUGAGUGAGUACAGACCAUGUUUGUCUUUCCGGGUCUGGGUUACUUCUGAAUGAUUUUUUUCUAGUUCCAUCCAAUUGUCUGCAAAUUUCAUGAGGUCAUUGUUUUUUAUAGCUGAGUAGUACUCCAUUGUGUACCACAUUUUCCCUAUCCAUUCUUCAGUUGAGGGUCAUCUAGGUUGUUUCCAGGUUCUGACUAUUAUGAAUAAUGGGGCUAUGAACACAGUUGAGCAAAUGUCCUUGUGGUAUGAUGGCACAUCCUUUGGGUAUAUGCUCAAGAUUGGUAUAGCUGGGUCUUGAGGUAGAUUAAUUCCCAAUUUUCUGAGAAACUGCCAUAUUGGUUUCCCAAGUGGCUGUAUAAGUUUAUCCUCCUGCCAACAGUGGAGGAGUGUUCCCCUUACUGCACAUCCUCUCCAACAUAAGCUGUCUUCAGUGUUUUUUAUCUUAGCCAUUUUGACAGGUAUAAGAUAGCAUCUCAGAGUCUUUUUGUUUUGAUUUUCCCUGAUGACUAAGGAUGUUGAGCAAUUCCUUAAAUGUCUUGUGGCCAUUUGAGAUUCUUCUGUUGAGAAUUCUAUGUUUAGAUCUGUACCCCAUUUUUAAAUUUGAUUAUUUGGUAUUUUGAUGUCUGGUUUCUUGGGUUUUUUUGUUGUUGUUUUGUUUUUGUUUUUUUACAAUGAUAACCCCAGCUAAGAUUCCUAGCAAUAGUGGAGAGGGUGCCUGAACUGGCCAUCUACUGGAAUCAGAUUGGUGAGUGCCCUAAUUGUCAUCAGAAAUACUUUAUCCAGUAACUGAUCAAAACAGAUGCAGAAACCCACAGCCAAGCACUGGACUAGCUCUGGGAGUCUUGCUGAAGAAAGGAAGGAGGGAUUGUAUGAGCCAGGGGCAUCAUAACAGGGAAAUCCACAGAGAGAGUUGACCUGAGCUCAUGGCAGCUCAUGGACUCUGGACUAACAAUUAGGUAGCUUCCAAUGGACAGAUCCAGGCCCUCUGAAUGUGUGUGACAGUUGUGUAGCUUGAUCUCUUUGUAAGGCUCAUAGCUGUGAUAUAAGGAUCUGUCCCUGGUGCUUAGUUGGCUUUUGGGAACCUGUUCCUCAUGCUGGAUUACUUUGCCCAGCUUUGACACAAGGGAAGGAGCUUGGUCCUUCUCAACUUGAUAUACCAUGCUUUGUUCAAGCCCAUGGGAGGCCUGCUUCUUUCUUAAUGGAGGUGGAGGAGGGGUGGGAGGGGAUGAGAUAGAUGGGAAGUGGGGUGGACCAGGAGAAAGGAGAGACAGGAAGCUGUGGUCAGUAUGUAAAAUAAGUGAAAAAAAAUAUUUUAAAUAAAAUAUUUUUAAAAAGUAUAUAACAUACACAGAGAUCAAUGUUUUUACUCAUAGGAUUACAUUUCAUAAUCCUAGCUGCUGUGGGAUAUCUUUCUGUACGCUGUGAAUAUGUGUUGCUGUGAUUGGUUAAUAAAGAAGCUGCUCUGGCCUAUGGUGAGUCAGGUUAUAUCCAGGCAGGAAUCCGAGAAAGAGACAGGGAGAAGAAAGGAGAGAAGAGAGAGGGGCCAGCUGCCACCAACGGAGAAGCAAGAUGCCAGCAGACUGGUAAUGCCACAGCCAUGUGGCAAAACAUAGAUUAAUAGAAAUGGGUUAAUUUAAGAUGAAAGAGCUAGCUAGCAAGAAGCCUGCCAUAGGCCAUACAGUCUGUGAGUAAUAUUAAGCCUCUGAGUGAUUAUUUUAUAAUUGGCUAGGGAACCACAGGGCCAGGCAGGACUGGAGAAACCUUCUGGUUACACCUAGCUAACUGCAUAUGAUAUUCUCCUUUGUACUGGUUUUUAAAAUGUACAGGCCCAAUUACUUGAAUGAUGAAAUUGUAACAACAGACAAAUAAAUAAAGAUUAUUCUAGAACAUUUAUUUUGAGAACAGUUUGCCUUAUUGCACAUGCACCUCAUACUUCUUCAUUGUGAAUCAGCUUGUGUCCAGUGUUUUCCAACAGGAAAUACAAGAAGUAGUUAUGAAGGCAUUAAUAAAGGAACUGCUUAUUGCUAUUUUUAAAGCAUAUAUAGAUACAGCCCACUAAUAAUGAUUAUUCAAAGAAGGCUACCCACAGAUUGAUAGAUGUUGGAGACUGACUCAGGACUGUUUGACCCAGGACUGUUAUGUCUUGAGUUUUCUGCUUCGUGGAGUCUUGCAUAAACAGGGCGUCCUUGGCCUAACUGCAAAAUGUACGUUUAGAUAAACCACUUGGCAUAAACUGUAAUCAGCCAGCUGCAGAAGCCUGGGACCAAAGAAACACCCACCCUGACCACCCUGACUUCUUCUCAAAAAUUUUCCACUCUCCUUUCCCUGUUCCCCCUCCCUGCCUGAAAUCCUGCUUAUAAGCUGCAACAUACUGCCAAUAAACGAGACCUUGACACGA